rnacentral:rRNA from 1 species
ACUCCUACGGGAGGCAGCAGUAGGGAAUAUUGGACAAUGGGCGCAAGCCUGAUCCAGCCAUGCCGCGUGAGUGAAGAAGGCCCUCGGGUUGUAAAGCUCUUUUGUUGGGGAAGAAAAGCCUUGGGUUAAUACCCCGGGGUCCUGACGGUACCCAAAGAAUAAGCACCGGCUAACUUCGUGCCAGCAGCCGCGGUAAUACGAAGGGUGCAAGCGUUACUCGGAAUUACUGGGCGUAAAGCGUGCGUAGGUGGUUCGUUAAGUCUGAUGUGAAAGCCCUGGGCUCAACCUGGGAAUUGCAUUGGAUACUGGCGGGCUAGAGUGCGGUAGAGGGUAGUGGAAUUCCCGGUGUAGCAGUGAAAUGCGUAGAGAUCGGGAGGAACAUCUGUGGCGAAGGCGACUGCCUGGACCAGCACUGACACUGAGGCACGAAAGCGUGGGGAGCAAACAGGAUUAGAUACCCUGGUAGGCUCU